rnacentral:misc_RNA from 1 species
UGGCACUUGUGCUCUCAGGGCGUGACUUUUCGCUAACGAUAUCCAAUUCGGGCUAAAAAUCAUUCCCGUGCGUCGAAAAUAAGAUAUUUCUGAAUGAAAUGACUGAUACUUUCAAAAAUUAAGUUAUCGUAAAAUUCCAAUAAUCCAGUGUGCUCGAUACUUUGGCAAUGUUGAGUUAUAAAAUUGGCUGAAUUAUUGAACUAUAUCUGCGAUACCGUAAAGACAUUUAAUAAUCUAAUUAUAUUAUUAGAUUUAUUAUACUAUAUUAUAUAUUAUAUAUUAUAUAUUGUAGUAUCGUGGACGAAAGGCCUAAGAGAUAUCGGGCGAAUUAUAAACAAGCGGUUGCGAAACAUGUACGUGAGGCUAAGACAAAAGACAAGGGGUUGCUAAGGGACAAAGACAAAUUAACAGUCAGUGUUAGUUGUGGAGUCAGAGAGUGUGAAUCGAGAAGUCAAGGAGAUAAUGUUGCUAGCGUUGUCG